CGUAGGCCCGAAAACUAGGUUUCGGUCGUCAGCCAUGCGGAACACGUCUGCAUCGAAACGGGAGCUGGAUUCUGCUGCAACUGACGACAGCAAUAACGACAUGCAACAUAGAGGAUGGCACCAGUGUAAAGCAACAUACUCCGCACACUAAAAAGAAGCUACUGCCUGCUACAACAAGGACAUUGUGUGGACUUUUGUUGCUUCUACAAGAAUCUGCACCAAACACAUCAUGGUCUUCCUCACAGGAGCCCCCAUCUAUACCAACAGGAAGGAGCUGGAGCUGAAUUCGCAAGGUUUUUACACCAUAAAAAAUUAUGAUGAUCCAGAAGUAUUCAGAUGAGAUAUCAAGUCUACAGAGGAGUGUCUCAAGAGUUAAGAGCCUCGACCAUCAUUCCACCAGCAUGGAUAUUGGCCGAGUCAUCCAGGUACCUAAAAAAAAAAAAAAAAAUCUGCGUGUUCAGAUGCACCUGCAACCUCUGAACAAGACGGACGACACUGGCCAGAAAAGUUCCAUCAGCUUGCCCUUUCUUAAUAAAUCAGCUUCCUGGCCUUGUCAAAUUCCAUUUGUGCCAAGUAUAAUUUUUUUUCAAUGAAGGCACGCUUUUUCAUUCCCCAUUCUUGUUUCACUUCCUCAUCCAAACAUACACGUCAACUGAUUAUUUGCUCGUGCUUAAUACUAGUCAGUCUAGUAGCAUAACAUAUCUGUAGCAGUGUAUUCUGGUGUAAGUUGCCAUGUGCAAUUGCUCUUCUGAAAUAGCUGAUGCGGCAUCGGUGUGUGUCUUGCAUUAAGUACCUUUGCACAGUGUGCUAUAUAGCACUUGAAUUUCUUAAUGUUUUUGGCCUUCAGUCCUUGUAGGGUAGAGUGACCGCUUUCUUAAUUGCAAGCUUUCUCAUUCCCAUAUUUAAUUCCUAGUCUCCUUCAGGAUUGCUCUUCUUGCACAAUAGCCCGUGUUUUUGCGCAAGCUACAUUGAAGUGAUUGAUUGCAGAAUCUGGUUUCACUGCCAUCCCACUUGGUCCUGUUCGCCGCGUUCCGUUUCUUACGUGUAGGAAGGAGCCUGGUCAGUUGCAUUAGGAAACAGUCGCUCAAGGCAAGCACCUGCUCCUGCAGUCUUCACAGCGACACAGACUCCAAAUCUACAGACACUGUGAUUGGUACUCCCCGUCCUGUCCUUUGCU